rnacentral:rRNA from 1 species
AACGAACGCUGGCGGCAGGCCUAACACAUGCAAGUCGAGCGAAGCCUUCGGGCUUAGCGGCGGACGGGUGAGUAACGCGUGGGAACGUGCCCUUUGGUACGGAAUAGCCCCGGGAAACUGGGAGUAAUACCGUAUGUGGUCGAGAGACGAAAGAUUUAUCGCCAAAGGAUUGGCCCGCGUUGGAUUAGGUAGUUGGUGGGGUAAUGGCCUACCAAGCCGACGAUCCAUAGCUGGUUUGAGAGGAUGAUCAGCCACACUGGGACUGAGACACGGCCCAGACUCCUACGGGAGGCAGCAGUGGGGAAUCUUAGACAAUGGGGGAAACCCUGAUCUAGCCAUGCCGCGUGAUCGAUGAAGGCCUUAGGGUUGUAAAGCUCUUUCAGUGGGGAAGAUAAUGACGGUACCCACAGAAGAAGCCCCGGCUAACUCCGUGCCAGCAGCCGCCGCGGUAA